GUCUAUGGCCAUGCCACCCUGAACAUGCCCAAUCUCAUCCGAUCUCGGAAGCUAAGGAGGGUUGGGCCUGGUUAGUACUUGGAUGGGAGACCACCUAGGAAGACCAGGAGCUGUAGGGG
rnacentral:rRNA from 1 species